CCUACGGGUGGCAGCAGUGAGGAAUAUUGGUCAAUGGACGAGAGUCUGAACCAGCCAAGUAGCGUGAAGGAUGACUGCCCUAUGGGUUGUAAACUUCUUUUAUAAGGGAAUAAAACGAGGCACGUGUGCCUUUUUGCAUGUACUUUAUGAAUAAGGAUCGGCUAACUCCGUGCCAGCAGCCGCGGUAAUACGGAGGAUCCGAGCGUUAUCCGGAUUUAUUGGGUUUAAAGGGAGCGUAGAUGGGUUGUUAAGUCAGUUGUGAAAGUUUGCGGCUCAACCGUAAAAGUGCAAUUGAUACUGGCAGUCUUGAGUACAGUUGAGGUGGGCGGAAUUCGUGGUGUAGCGGUGAAAUGCUUAGAUAUCACGAAGAACCCCGAUUGCGAAGGCAGCUCACUAAACUGUGACUGACAUUGAUGCUCGAAAGUGUGGGUAUCAAACAGGAUUAGAUACCCGUGUAGUC
rnacentral:rRNA from 1 species